GACGGCAAACCAUUUUUUAAUUGAAUAAAAAAUAAAUAUAUUUUUAUAAUGCUUUGCAUAAUAAAAAGGUCUUUUUUUGAAAAACAUUGACAGUUACCGUAUGCAUAAAACGCAAGACAAACGCGGCUACUAAAAUUUUCAUUUCCGGAAUGAAAUUUAUUUGGCGAAAUAUAAAAUUGGAACCAAAUUUACGAACUCCGAUGCAAAAACAUAAGCGCGUCAAGGGCCAGCAUGAUGCAAUAAAACUUCUGUUUACUUUUUUUGUGCAGUUUGGGUUGUAUUUUGUAGGCAGUUUAUUCUGCCUAAUUGCUUAAUUCUGGUAAAUAUUUGUAAUAAUUGGACGUGUCGCCAAGUGAAAGCCGACAGAUUUGAAUUGUGAUUCGGCAGGAGUGAUAGUUUUUCCUUAUAUAGGAGCCUAAUAUGCAUGGCCGAUAAGAAAAUCAUCCUAGUCUACAAGCGGCCUGAAUAGCAGAUAAGUUUGCCAAUGAAAAUGAUUACUUUCACUAGCCAAAACUGAAACUAAAGCCGAUUUUCUUGCAAAUUUGUGUGCAGCUGUUUUUAAGAGUUUUUUUUUUGUUACAGAACAAACAGGUCGAACCUACAAUCGACGAAGUUCUUCAUCUAGAUUCAGGUCCCGAUCGCCAUCUCGACGUCGCACAACGUAUGGUAAAGAUGGGUCAAAUAUUAGCGAUGAUGUGAAUGAUCCCAUGAUGGCUUGGUUGCUGCUGCUGCUGCUACAAACAGCGCGGAACAACAGGAUAAAAAAUAUGACAUUACUGAACAGUUAUUCUUGGAAAGUGCUUCAAGACAUCCUGGAGCAGGCCAAAACUGAAACUGAUGCCGAUAUUCUUGCGAACUUGUCUGCAGCUGGUGUCACGGCCGGUAGUAGUACGGCUGUCUCUACCCCAAAAAGGGCCUAGUGAAUGAAGUUGUGUCCUAGUAGAUUGAUGUGUGAUUGUAGCGAAUAGGGCUUUAUUACAGAAGAGUCGACUCGACUCGCCCAUGUAUUUCAAAUGAGGCGAGUUGCUCUUAGUAGCUACUGUAAUAUGGCCCUAUGAUGUGAGAAUUCUCGUCAUGUACUUUGUGAGUAGAAGAUGAUGAAAAAUAAAAUACAGUUGCUAAACCAUA